AGGGAAUAUUGCACAAUGGAGGAAACUCUGAUGCAGCGACGCCGCGUGAGUGAUGAAGGCCUUCGGGUCGUAAAGCUCUGUCGCAGGGGAAUAACACAAUGAAGGUACCCUGUAAGAAAGGAUCGGCUAACUUCGUGCCAGCAGCCGCGGUAAGACGAGGGAUCCUAGCGUUGUUCGGAAUCAUUGGGCGUAAAGCGGGUGUAGGUGGCUUUGUAAGUCAGGUGUGAAAGCCUAGGGCUCAACCCUAGAAGUGCAUUUGAUACUGCGAAGCUUGAGUGCUAGAGAGGUUACUAGAAUUGUUGGUGUAGUGGUGAAAUACGUAGAUAUCAACAGGAAUACCGGUGGCGAAGGCGGGUAACUGGCUAGACACUGACACUCAGACCCGAAAGUGCGGGGAUCAAAC
rnacentral:rRNA from 1 species